UACGUAGGGUGCGAGCGUUGUCCGGAAUUAUUGGGCGUAAAGGGCUCGUAGGCGGUUUGUCGCGUCGGGAGUGAAAACCUUGGGCUUAACUCAGGGCUUGCUUUCGAUACGGGCAGACUAGAGGUAUGCAGGGGAGAACGGAAUUCCUGGUGUAGCGGUGAAAUGCGCAGAUAUCAGGAGGAACACCGGUGGCGAAGGCGGUUCUCUGGGCAUGAUCUGACGCUGAGGAGCGAAAGCGUGGGGAGCAAACGGG
rnacentral:rRNA from 1 species